AACGAACGCUGGCGGCAGGCCUAACACAUGCAAGUCGAACGCUCCGCAAGGGAGUGGCGCACGGGUGAGUAACACGUGGGAACCUACCUUCUGGUACGGAACAACCAAGGGAAACUUUGGCUAAGACCGUAUACGACCUCCGGGUGAAAGAUUGAUCGCCGGAAGAGGGGCCGCGUCCGAUUAGGUAGUUGGUGAGGUAACGGCUCACCAAGCCUUCGAUCGGUAGCUGGUCUGAGAGGAUGACCAGCCACACUGGGACUGAGACACGGCCCAGACUCCUACGGGAGGCAGCAGUGGGGAAUAUUGGACAAUGGGCGCAAGCCUGAUCCAGCCAUGCCGCGUGAGUGAUGAAGGCCUU
rnacentral:rRNA from 1 species